AUCCUUCUAGGUCAUACACGUGAUGAUUGGUCGAUCCACGAUGUUUUCGUGAAAUGUGCAGCCUUCUUGUUACGCUUGGCACACGACCCUUCUGAUU